rnacentral:lncRNA from 13 species
CAUGCUUCAAAAAAAUCCCACGGAAAAAUAUUGUGGGCCUGUGGGAGAAAUUUGAGCCUUGGCCAGCUGCGAAGCUGUGUAAACAGUGGUGAUGACUGUGAUUAAUCCAAACCCCACUCCGGGAUCUGUAAAGUGUGUCAGUUCUGCCUGUGGCUCGUGAAAUCCCCACUCAUUACUGAAUUCUUUUAGGAAGGAAGAAACAGACACCAGAAGCAGAGGAAGAAAGCUGCCCUAGCCAUGACAUGCCACUGCCGGGAGACACCCUCCGUCAUACAAGGUGGAGAAACUGAGAUUCAGACAAGGAGCUUCUUGUUCAGCAAACACUACUUAGCCAAUAAUCUAAAUGGAAGUUAAUGGAGAAUUGUUUGACUCAGUGCUAUGGUCUGAAUGUUGUGUCCCUCCCAAAUUCAAAUUCAAAU